GGGGGCGUAGCUCAGAUGGUAGAGCGCUCGCUUAGCAUGCGAGAGGUACUGGGAUCGAUACCCAACGCCUCCA
rnacentral:tRNA from 1 species